UACGUAGGGUGCGAGCGUUAAUCGGAAUUACUGGGCGUAAAGUGUGCGCAGGUGGCCACGCAAGUCGAGUGUGAAAUCCCCGAGCUUAACUUGGGAAUUGCGCUCGAAACUACGUGGCUCGAGUGUGGCAGAGGAAGGUGGAAUUCCACGUGUAGCGGUGAAAUGCGUAGAGAUGUGGAGGAACACCGAUGGCGAAGGCAGCCUUCUGGGCCAACACUGACGCUCAUGCACGAAAGCGUGGGGAGCAAACAGG
rnacentral:rRNA from 1 species